AUCACGCCGAAACACUAGUUCUCAUUUGAUCACUGAAGUUAAGCAGUGUCGAUCCCGGUCAGUACUUAGAUGGGAGGGGAUCACCACCUUGGGAACACUGGAUGCUGU